AGGUCCAGCCCUUUAACAGUGGUGAUACACUUCCGCUUGUUACGUGUGACCUUUUCAAUAACAACUUCUUGCUUCUCUUUCUUUUUUAUCUUCCCUCCAGGAAGACGUUUUACUUCUUCCUUGGGGGCAGAAGCAGCCCCUGAAAGAGUAGCACCGUCACCGCCGCUGGAUGAGAUGCUGGCGGAUUGUAACUGCUCAGCGACCUUGUUAGCUUCCUUGAGAUUUGCCUCUUUGACGAGAUCGGGGUAAAGGUCAGGGGCGUUUUGGAUCAACCAGGG
rnacentral:misc_RNA from 1 species